GACGGAGGAUGCAAGCGUUAUCCGGAAUGAUUGGGCGUAAAGCGUCCGCAGGUGGCAGUUCAAGUCUGCUGUCAAAGACCGGGGCUUAACUUCGGAAAGGCAGUGGAAACUGAACAGCUAGAGUAUGGUAGGGGCAGAGGGAAUUCCUGGUGUAGCGGUGAAAUGCGUAGAGAUCAGGAAGAACAUCGGUGGCGAAGGCGCUCUGCUGGACCAUAACUGACACUCAGAGACGAAAGCUAGGGUAGCAAAUGGG
rnacentral:rRNA from 1 species